rnacentral:lncRNA from 1 species
GUAUAGAAGGGUUUCUUGCAAAAAUAAGCUAUCCCAUAAUUUUUGGAUAAUUAUUUGGAGUUCAAAAACUAUUUUAUUUAAAUAGUUAUAUAGCCCUAAAGGCAUUUAUAGGGCAAAUGUAUUUUUAGAUAUUUUAUUUUGAGGGGAAAUUACUCCCAAAAGUUGAAUCAUGAUAAAACAUGAUUUUACAAAUUUUCUGGAAUUUAUUUGGGCCAAUUUGGAGUUCAAAAUCAAAAGAUAUCAAAGAAAUGAGAAAAAGAGAAAAAGAAAAGGCUAAAAGAAAAAAAAGGAAAAACCGGACUGGCCCGGCCAAAUGGGCCGAACCGGUCCCGAACCGAGCAAGCCGGCCCAGCGCGCGCCCGACCGCGCCGAGCCACUGACAGGUGGGGCCCACCUGUCGGGGUCGUCUUCUCCGCAGGGAAAGCCCCGGAUCUCCGCCGCGACGCGAGCGCCUUCCUUCUUCGCCGCUGCGCGCUCACUGCCGCGAUCUCCUCGUCCCGUGCCUCCCGCGCCUCGCCACCCGCGUCAUUAUAAAGCCCCGCUUUCCCUCUCUUCUUUCCCCCUCUUGCUUCCCUGUCUCCUCGCGCCCACGCCGCCGGAUUUGCUCGCCGAAGAACACCGCCGCCGCCGCCGUCUUUUGCUUCGGGACGACACGCCGGUGAGCCUCCCCGC